rnacentral:rRNA from 1 species
UUGACCUCAAAUCAAGUA